CACGUAGGGUGCAAGCGUUGUCCGGAAUUAUUGGGUUUAAAGGGUGCGUAGGCGGCCUUAUAAGUCAGUGGUGAAACCCUUGGGCUUAACCCAAGGAGUGCCAUUGAUACUGUAAGGCUUGGGUUAUCUCUGGGCGGGCGGAAUGGAUGGUGUAGCGGUGAAAUGCAUAGAUAUCAACCAGAACGCCGACAGCGAAGGCAGCUCGCUGGGGAUAUACCGACGCUGAGGCACGAUAGCGUGGGGAUCAAACAGG
rnacentral:rRNA from 1 species